GGAAGUGUAACUCAGUUGGCAGAGUAACGGUCUUUUAAAUCGUGAGCCGCGAGUUCGAUCCUCGCCACUUCCA
rnacentral:tRNA from 1 species